GGAAUCUUCCACAAUGGGCGCAAGCCUGAUGGAGCAACACCGCGUGAGUGAAGAAGGGUUUCGGCUCGUAAAGCUCUGUUGUUAGAGAAGAACGUGCGUGAGAGUAACUGUUCACGCAGUGACGGUAUCUAACCAGAAAGUCACGGCUAACUCCGUGCCAGCAGCCGCGGUAAUACGGAGGAUGCGAGCGUUAUCCGGAUUUAUUGGGUUUAAAGGGUGCGCAGGCGGGCUGUUAAGUCAGCGGUGAAAUGUCCCGGCUCAACCGGGGCCCUGCCGUUGAUACUGGCAGCCUGGAGUACGGACGGCGCCGGCGGAAUGUGUCAUGUAGCGGUGACAUGCUUAGAUAUGACACAGAACACCGAUCGCGAAGGCAGCUGGCGAGGCCGGUACUGACGCUCAGGCACGAAAGCGUGGGGAGCAAACA
rnacentral:rRNA from 1 species